AGAGCAAGAAUGGAUACAAAUUCGGAUUUCCUUGGUUCAUGUAGAUUUUCACAAUUUGAAAUUUUAGUUUGAAUUUUUUUCAGGUGAUGUGGAGAUGGGCUAAACAAUAAGAAUUGAUACAUGCUCUAGUGGGAAUGCUGACAGAGCUUUAGAUUGCCUGUGGCAGAAGAAGAAGGCUGAGAUUAAGCUGCAAUAUAUUUUGCUUUCAAGGUCUAUUUUUGUUAGAGAUAUUUGAGUAUUAAAAUCAACAUAAAGUUGAAACAUUUGUUUGCAGAGAGGAUCAGCCGAGAAAGAACUUUUGCAACAAAGUGAAGGAACCACAUUCCAUGAAAAGGAUCCUGCUGAUUUUGAAGUUCCUGCUGAUGUUUUGGAACUCAUUGAUCAAACAUUUCUAUUCAAAAUUGAAGUCAAUAACAACUCAAACUCGAUAUUUGAACCAUCGUACCGAGUUAAGAAAAUCUGCUCUGACUCAGAGGUUAUGUGUCAGUUUCAGGCAUCUCUUCCCUCUAUUGAGGGUUCCGCUCCAUUGUUGAAUAUGGGGACCCCUACUUCAGUGCUGAAGGGUGAAUCUUCAUCUCCGAUUAUAGAGGAGUUUUCCCUGAGGAAUAGCUUGGAUCAACUAGACAUCAUUUUGCUAAUUUAUUAUCAAUUUUGUAUAUCAUUCAUUGCGACACUGUGUAGAACCUCAAAUCCUUUUCAUAAUGGAGUUGUUCUUAUUUGAUGGUUU